CACUUGAAACCUCUCUUUAUGGCUUAGGCCCUGCAAACAAAGGCCUUCUGGUUAGGAGACAUUCUCCCUUUGGUCACCAGGACUUUUCCUGAAAUUAGUCGAUGCCCCUGGGCCUCACGUUACGUACGUAUGGCUGGCAUGUCAGUGAAUGCUGGCUAAACUUCAGAGCAGCCAGGACGACACCCAGUUAGCCCCAUAAAAGAAUGAGGCCUUGGCUUUUCUCUCUGAGGCAUGAUGGGACAUGUGCCUGGUACCUGCUAGUGCGGUCACACCUGAGAAACCUGCUGCUGGAACAGCUGCCUUCCUGCUGUGCCGUGCUCUGCUGGGAGAGGCUACAGCCAGGGCCUCCACUUUCCUACUUGUCUGGCUUGAGAUCCCUCUGGUUGGCAAAUCAAUCCUGAAUCAGACUCAAGCUCAUCUUUACGAAGCCACCGUGUGCCAGGCGUGUGCCAAGCUCUCAGCAUGGUGGUUACGAGCAGAGGCUCAGGAGCCUGACCAUCUGGGGUUGGCACCCUUGGCAAAGUUGUUUGUACUCUGUCCACAGUUUCCCCAUCUGAAAGAUGGGGAUGAUAAUUGUACCCACUCAAUAAUAUUGCUGUGAGUAGAAAUUGAGGUGAUCCAUGUAAAAUUGCCCAGCACAUGGCAAGUAUUCAGUAAAUGUCAGCUGUUGUGUUUCAACCCCAUUGCCUCACAAUGGUGCAGAGAGAUGGGUGCCACUGUUGCCUAUUCACAGAUGGGAAAGCCAAAGCUUAGAGAGCCUCCGGGAGUUGCCAGGAGUUACAUUACUAGGAUUGGAAAUCUAGAUAGUUGUGGCAUGAGCAUUCUUUUUUAUAUUCCCAUGGCACAGAGGGAAUACUAGAAGCAAAGCAUCCGUGGUCUCUAAAUCAUACAUAAACUCCAGGCCAGCUUAACUAGUGGCUUCCAUCAGAGGCCAAAGAACCAUGUCUUGUUUCGAACGGAGGAACCAUGGGGAGUGUGGGGCCUGUGAACGGGACAGCACUUUCUCAGUCACUCUCUAACACACAUGUGCGCUGGCACUCAGCACCAGUCAAGUGAGGAUGGAGAAAGACCGUGACACUUCGGAGUCCCUCGACCAGCUGGGCUUGACAAACGGAUUUGAUGGCUGAGCUGCAGUGGCCAUACUGGACCAUGAGACAACUUUGAGGACAGAAGCCAGAAGUAAGGAUGGUGGGGCAGAGAAAUACAAAAAGCCUGGGUUCUGAUGAAAUCAUGGGACUUCCAAAGGAUUUCUCUAGUCUUACUUUUGAGCUUCUUAUGUGUGGCCUAUUUCUACGACCUCUGAAACCUUAACCAAACUUUACUAAAGUUAGGAAAGCCUU